rfam:Citrus clementina cultivar Clemenules unplaced genomic scaffold scaffold_4, whole genome shotgun sequence.
UUGGCAGGAAUUGUGUGUAUCGACAUUGUGCUACAUUCUAUGCACUCUGUUUCGAAAGUGUUCCCUGCUAAAUUAAUCUAGGGAAGAUGGGCAGUUGUCUUUCAAUUUCCACGAUUGAAAUUGUCAACAAUCAUCUUCCCAAUAUCA